CCCUUCCGUGCUCAGCUCCCCUGACAUGAUUUUGCUUUGUGGGUUGCAUGUGGAUUCUUUCCUUUCCUAGCCUCCGUAGCUUUGCUUUUAUGACCUCGAGCGAGGCUGGUAAACACCUAAAUAUUUGAUUAUACUUUUUUCCCCCAAACACAUCACAGAGUUUGCUCGUGCCAAGUUCCGCAUCCUGCCACUCUCCACUCUCGGCUUUACAGUUUCAGUAUCAUCAGAUGUUCUCUUCACGAUGAACGAGUUGCUGGUCACAGCCCGCGAUCUGCUGGUGCCUGGAAUGGAACACUUCUGCUGUGACCUCCCUCCUGCUGUGUGACCUCACUCCUGCUCAAGCAGCCUUUUCCUGCCGACUUGAUCCUGUCUGCUUUGAGCAUGGACUCAGAACAUGAGAUUACAUCCCGUUGACAUCCGCUUAGCUGGAAGAGCUCCGAAUUCCUGUAUUUGCUGAACUGAAGUGCUAUUAGUUUGGAAUGUGAAAGUCGGCCAAAGUAUAACUUCAGGCAAGCUGGACAAAGCCUUAGAGAGGAUCAGAAAUCCAGGCUCAAACUUGACACCAACCACGUGAAGCUCAACUGAAGGUCAUCUGGAGGCCGAGGGGAAGUGUGGGGAAGGUGUAAAACGGAAAUACGCGUUCACAUUUGGACUGCGAAGCAAUUGGGGAAGAAAAAAAAAAAAACGUUCACCUUCUUCUACUCUCUUCAGACUGAUGGUAUCUGGCCAGGUGGCCGGGGCUCUUCUGGAGUGUUUGGAAAGCCAGGUUGUCUGUGAACUGGUGGUGAGUCUAUUCUUCUGUCCCUGAACGAGCUGCUUUGUCCUGUCCUUCACCGAUGGCUGUGACACCGGCUGUGUCCUGUGCUUCCUUCUGUGUAUACACCCCGAUGCCCAAAGGUAUUAUCUGAAUUUGGAUAUGUAACAACAAAGCACAGUCAAUAACUGAAAAAAAAAAUGUGUUCUGUAAUGUAGGAUCCAUGAUCACAGCAGAGGCUGCGAUGUAGUAAAAACACACGAUUCUAAACAAA